UACGUAGGGUGCAAGCGUUAAUCGGAAUUACUGGGCGUAAAGCGUGCGCAGGCGGUUCUAUAAGACAGAUGUGAAAUCCCCGGGCUCAACCUGGGAACUGCAUUUGUGACUGUAGAGCUGGAGUACGGUAGAGGGGGAUGGAAUUCCGCGUGUAGCAGUGAAAUGCGUAGAGAUCCGGAGGAACACCAAAGGCGAAGGCAGUGUCCUGGGGAGUACCUGACGCUCAGGUGCGAAAGCCAGGGGAGCGAACGGG
rnacentral:rRNA from 1 species